AGCUCUACCUUAGCUUCUCAUUACACCAAAAACCCUCCCAAACUUAAGAGCCAUUCAAAUAAGGCACAGCUUAUUUGAAAUAGGGCACAACCUCUAACACCGGGUAAAUAAGGGUAACUUAAACAAAGUAGGCCUAAGAGCAGCCACCUUUAAAAAAGCGUUAAAGCUUACUUAUAAUCACCCACAAUUUCCUAAAUCCUCAUUAACCCUUCACCACUACUGAACUAUUUUAUAUCUUUAUAAAAGCUAUAAUGCUAGAACUAGUAACAAGAAAUAGCCUUUCUCCAAAAUGUAAGCUUACACCAAAAUGGACAAUCCAUUGGUAAUUAACGCAAAUGUUAUAGCCACAGCAACACACCUCUAGAAAACCCUGUGACCUCCUACGUUACCCUUACACUAGAACAUCUCAGGAAAGAUUAAAAGAGAAAGAAGGAACUCGGCAAAUCCUCAGCCCCGCCUGUUUACCAAAAACAUCGCCUCUUGACCAAGUAUAAGAGGUCCAGCCUGCCCAGUGACAAAAUUCAACGGCCGCGGUACCCUAACCGUGCGAAGGUAGCAUAAUCACUUGUUCUCUAAAUAGGGACUAGUAUCAACGGCAUCACGAGGGCUGAACUGUCUCCUUUCUCCAAUCAGUGAAACUGAUCUCCCCGUGAAGAAGCGGGGAUUAUUAUAUAAGACGAGAAGACCCCAUGGAGCUUUAAACUCAUCACUCACUUCCUCACCUCCAUGCCCGACCAUAUAAGGAAUCUGUGUGAUAGUUUUGGGUUGGGGGGACCACGGAGUACAAUUUAACCUCCAUGACAAAUGGGCUAACGCCCUUAUCUACGAACUACAACUCUAAGAAUCAUAAACUGAUGUUUAAUGACCCGACAAUUCGAUCAACGAACCAAGUUACCCUGGGGAUAACAGCGCAAUCUACUUUAAGAGCCCCUAUCGACAAGUAGGUUUACGACCUCGAUGUUGGAUCAGGGUAUCCUAGGGGUGCAGCCGCUCCUAACGGUUCGUUUGUUCAACGAUUAAAACCCU
rnacentral:rRNA from 1 species